rnacentral:rRNA from 1 species
CAGGCCUUACACAUGCAAGUCGAACGGCAGCACGGGAGCAAUCCUGGUGGCGAGUGGCGAACGGGUGAGUAAUAUAUCGGAACGUGCCCAGUCUGGGGGAUAACGUAGCGAAAGCUACGCUAAUACCGCAUACGAUCUACGGAUGAAAGCGGGGAUCGCAAGACCUCGCGCGAUUGGAGCGGCCGAUAUCAGAUUAGGUAGUUGGUGAGGUAAAGGCUCACCAAGCCGACGAUCUGUAGCUGGUCUGAGAGGACGACCAGCCACACUGGGACUGAGACACGGCCCAGACUCCUACGGGAGGCAGCAGUGGGAAUUUUGGACAAUGGGCGCAAGCCUGAUCCAGCAAUGCCGCGUGCAGGAUGAAGGCCUUCGGGUUGUAAACUGCUUUGUACGGAACGAAACGGUGAGCUCUAAUACAGUUUGCUAAUGACGGUACCGUAAGAAUAAGCACCGGCUAACUACGUG